AUGGGAACGCGAAGAACCUUACCUAGACUUGACAUCUCCUGAAUAGUGUAGAGAUACAUGAAGCCCUUCGGGGCAGGAAGACAGGUGGUGCAUGGUUGUCGUCAGCUCGUGUCGUGAGAUGUUGGGUUAAGUCCCGCAACGAGCGCAACCCUUAUUACUAGUUGCUACCAUUAAGUUGAGCACUCUAGUGAGACUGCCCGGGUUAACCGGGAGGAAGGCGGGGAUGACGUCAAAUCAUCAUGCCCCUUAUGUCUAGGGCAACACACGUGCUACAAUGGUGAGCACGGAUAGAUGCGAUACCGCAAGGUGGAGCCAAACUCUAAAACUCAUCCCAGUUCGGAUUGUAGGCUGCAACUCGCCUACAUGAAGUUGGAGUUGCUAGUAAUCGCGAAUCAGAAUGUCGCGGUGAAUACGUUCCCGGGUCUUGUACACACCG
rnacentral:rRNA from 1 species